CGUAGGGUGCAAGCGUUAAUCGGAAUUACUGGGCGUAAAGCGUACGCAGGCGGGCUUUGCAAGACAGGUAGUCGAAAUCCCCCGGGGCCUAACCUGGGGAACUGCAUUUGUGACUGCAUGGCUAGAGUUUGUCAGAGGGGGGUGGAAUUCCACGUGUAGCAGUGAAAUGCGUAGAUAUGUGGAGGAACACCGAUGGCGAAGGCAGCCCCCUGGGAUGUGACUGACGCUCAUGUACGAAAGCGUGGGGAGCAAACAGGAUUAGAUACCCUGGUAGUCCACGCCCUAAACGAUGUCGACUAGUUGGUCGGAGGGUAACUCCUUCGGUAACGCAGCUAACGCGUGAAGUCCGACCCGCCGUGGGGGAGUACGGUCGCAAGAUUAA
rnacentral:rRNA from 1 species